GAGGAAUAUUGGACAAUGGGUUAGCGCCUGAUCCAGCCAUCCCGCGUGAAGGACGACGGCCCUAUGGGUUGUAAACUUCUUUUGUAUAGGGAUAAACCUACUCUCGUGAGAGUAGCUGAAGGUACUAUACGAAUAAGCACCGGCUAACUCCGUGCCAGCAGCCGCGGUAAUACGGAGGGUGCAAGCGUUAUCCGGAUUUAUUGGGUUUAAAGGGUCCGUAGGCGGAUCUGUAAGUCAGUGGUGAAAUCUCACAGCUUAACUGUGAAACUGCCAUUGAUACUGCAGGUCUUGAGUAAAUUUGAAGUGGCUGGAAUAAGUAGUGUAGCGGUGAAAUGCAUAGAUAUUACUUAGAACACCAAUUGCGAAGGCAGGUCACUAAGAUUUAACUGACGCUGAUGGACGAAAGCGUGGGGAGCGAAC
rnacentral:rRNA from 1 species